rnacentral:rRNA from 1 species
UACGAAGGGGGCUAGCGUUGCUCGGAAUUACUGGGCGUAAAGGGCGCGUAGGCGGAUCGUUAAGUCAGAGGUGAAAGCCCAGGGCUCAACCCUGGAAUUGCCUUUAAUACUGGCGAUCUUGAGUACGGGAGAGGUGUGUGGAACUCCGAGUGUAGAGGUGAAAUUCGUAGAUAUUCGGAAGAACACCAGUGGCGAAGGCGACACACUGGCCCGUUACUGACGCUGAGGCGCGAAAGCGUGGGGAGCAAACAGG